GUCAUUUCCCUCCGGACCUUGCCAGUGCUUCCGGGUUGCGGUCAUUUUGAUUCCCUGUCUGGGUGACUUUUUGGCUACCCAGUUGCUGUCGGCGUUCCAUCCCCCCCCAGCUCAGGUGCGGCCCCGCGCGACCUCCGAUUUCCGCCCUUGUUCCUCCCUUCUUCAUCCGUCUGGGCCCUCUGUCCUCGAUCGUCUGGAUUCACCGCGCCAUCGCUCGAGGCUGUCGUCUAAGGAAAGAUGAAUGGCAGGGCUGAUUUUCAGGAGCCGAAUGCUGAAGUUAGAAGACCAAUUCCCCACAUAGGAGCUGAUUACAUUCCAACAGAGGAAGAAAGAAGAGUCUUCGCAGAAUGCAAUGAUGAAAGCUUCUGGUUCAGAUCUGUGCCUUUGGCUGCAACAAGUAUGUUGAUUACUCAAGGAUUAAUUAGUAAAGGAAUCCUUUCAAGUCAUCCCAAAUAUGGUUCCAUCCCUAAACUCAUAUUUGCCUGUAUCAUGGGAUACUUUGCUGGAAAGCUUUCUUAUGUGAAAACUUGCCAAGAGAAGUUCAAGAAUCUUGAGAAUUCCCCUCUUGGAGAAGCUUUACGAUCAGGACAGGCGCGACGCUCUUCACCACAUGGGCACUACUCUCAGAAGUCAAAAUAUGACUCAAAUGUGAGUGAUCGUUCAUCUUUUGUGACAUCUCCAGCAGCAGACAACAUGGAAAAAGAGAUAUUUCCUCACUAUGAGCCAAUUCCAUUUAGUGCUUCUAUGAAUGAAUCUACUCCCACUGGUAUUACUGAUCAUAUUGCCCAAGGUAGAAACUUCUCUUGAAAUGAAUUUCAGCAUUUAAUGGUCCAACGUAUGUAUAAACUUUAUUUGAUGACCUUUUCUACUGGGUAUCACCUGUAUGUUCCACCAUCAGCCUGAAUGCAGCAUGUUGGUUCAUUUGUUUUGUCAUUUAACAUUUUUUUGCGGUCCAGUCUGUUAGAUAAGACAGAAAUAUAAGGAUAAAUUACAAGAAUGUCCCAUUAAUUGAAAAUAUUAACCAAGCUUAGUGGAAUAUCAAAGGCGUGAUAAAUUGUACCUGCAAGAGGCUUUAAAAAGGUUACAUUUGUUAGGUUGGUCUUAAAGGCUUUCAGCUUCUUUGUUUGUAAUGUGAGAAAAAUAAUAAUUACCUGCUUUACAGAACGGUUGUCAAGUGAGAAAAUCCAUGUGAAAAUGCUUUGUGAAGUUUGUGUAAAUACUAGCUUUGAAGAUCACAUAAUUCAAAGUAAACAAAUAUGGAGAUACUUGGGAUGAGUGAAAAAAUGCAUCCUUGGACCUACUGAAGGAGUUUCCAUAUCCAGUUUCAUCUAGGUGGUCAUGAAUAUCUGCAUGCUUUGAGCUCAGCAGCAGUCUUCGUAAACACAUUGAAAACUAGAACCUGGGUUUUUUGUGGUUUGGCUUAUUAAAAUAAUGUUUAAAAAAAUACAAAUUUUAAUGUUAAUAUUGUGCGAAUGUAUUGACCGUGGGAAACUAUACGAAAGUUGGUAUUAUACCACAACCAUAUGCAGUUUGUGAAAUUUAAGUUACAGGACAAGGAUACUCUUCCAAAUCCAUUGAGAGAUUGUAAUGCUCUAGAAUCAGCAUGUAUGAAAAUAAAUGAUACCUGCAUGUUGAAUUGGGGUGGGUGGGGGGAAGCACGCAUAAUUUUAAGUGGUAAGCCUUACAUCAAAAAAUUGUUAAGUUUUUCUUCAGUGUUUGCUGUAUUAAUGUUUAUGGUAAAUAAAAUAUAAAGGAA